GACGAACGCUGGCGGCGUGCUUAACACAUGCAAGUCGAACGGUGAAGGGGUCUGCUUUUGUGGGCCCUGGAUGAGUGGCGAACGGGUGAGUAACACGUGAGUAACCUGCCCCCUUCUUCUGGAUAACCGCAUGAAAGUGUGGCUAAUACGGGAUAUUCUGGGUCUGUCGCAUGAUGGGUCUGGGAAAGAUUGCGCCUUUGGGUGUUUUUGGUGGGGGAUGGGCUCGCGGCCUAUCAGCUUGUUGGUGGGGUGAUGGCCUACCAAGGCGGGGACGGGUAGCCGGGCUGAGAGGGUGGACGGUCACACUGGGACUGGGACACGGCCCAGACUCCUACGGGAGGAAGCAGUGGGGAAUAUUGCACAAUGGGCGCAAGCCUGAUGCAGCGACGCCGCGUGAGGGAUGGAGGCCUUCGGGUUGUAAACCUCUUUCGCCAGUGAAGCAGGCCUGCUCCUUGUGGGUGGGUUGACGGUAGCUGGAUAAGAAGCGCCGGCUAACUACGUG
rnacentral:rRNA from 1 species